CUAGUUGCUGUGGGAGCCUUUGGCUCAAGGUUCUGGUUCUAGCUGUGGACAUUUUUGUCUAGAGUUGUUUCUACCGUCCUUUGCAUUACUUCUGUGAAGUCUCCGAUGUAUGCAUUGAUAAGCCACACUAUACCAGAGGAAUCCAGUCAGGGUCCCAGUGUUCAGGAUGCUGCCAGUCCUGGAAUAAUGAUGCCAGAAUCCCGACACUGCUCGGAAUACCGACGCCGGAAUCCCAACAUUAUUCGCAAUGCUGGUGCCAGGAUCCCCAAAGAAGGAAUGUUGAGACUGAUGAAAGCUGUACUACUGAGCAUGUGCCAACAGACGUAAGCACACAUGCAAGCCGGAGCCACUGGGGGGCGCCACAUUCUAUUUUUCCUCCGGGGCGCCUGGUGUGAAAUCAUGCCCCUUAUCAGAAUGCUGUCCCCUAUGAUGGAUUUGAAAGGGGCUAUAAAAGUGUCAAAAUUCUGUCCCUUGUAGUGACCCUGAUGGAGCCUCAAAUAUCUCACCUGCAGGAGAAUACUUAGUGCAAUCAGGGCGGGGACUGCUGGGACUGGAGUUCAUGCCCAAAGAAUGGGGGGCCCAACAUGCUUCCUUUGCCGCUAUGCCCCGCAAACUUGCCAUGCUGCUGCUGAAACAUUCCACACCUGUCCUGCAGCAGUAUGCCAGGUGGUGAGGAGGAGGAAGAUGAAGCCCAACUCAGCAGUAUCGGGGUCAUCCCAGCUGUACCUGCACUUUUCGUGGUGUAGUAUGACCCACGCUGCUGGCACGAGAGGCCUCACCAGACACACUGGAGGUUUGAGAAGGUGGCUGGUGCCCUGCAAAUUUCAUUUGUACUAGGCUCAAUUGUUUCUGGUGGCAGCCCGUAGUGUUAGGAUAAGGUAGAGGGGGGAGUGGGGGUCCCUGCCUAUUUUAAUAGUCUUGGGCCCCGCAAUUUCUGAUGGCAUCCCAUGUUGGUGCAUCUAACGUAACUGAUAGGAGCCAGCACAACUCUCUCAUUACCCCCACUUAGGGCUAGUAUUUCUGUCACUAUUUAAUGGUGUAUUAUCUUUGGCCUGUAUAUCUUCUUCCCAGAACACAGAGGUCUAUGUACUAAACUUUGGAGAGAGAUAAAGUACAAACCAACCAGCUCUUACAGAUGUGUCCUCUUACUUUGUUACUGCGGGAGGCUGUGUACUAUGGUGCAUGCGCAUUGUGGCAUAGCGCAGCCUCCCGUAGCCUCAGUUCCCCUAUUGUCUGAGAUUACACGCUCCCGCUCCCACCUUCUCUGAUUACAACUAAUGGGUACAAGCUCCAGCUACCCCUAAUAAAUCACCUGCGCCGGCUUCCUCUAUGUACGGGUAGCAGGAGCACAGCUGCCCGCUGCUCUGUCCGGGUCUCCC